rnacentral:rRNA from 1 species
GAUGAACGCUGGCGGCGUGCCUAAUACAUGCAAGUCGAGCGAACAGACGAGGAGCUUGCUCCUCUGACGUUAGCGGCGGACGGGUGAGUAACACGUGGAUAACCUACCUAUAAGACUGGGAUAACUUCGGGAAACCGGAGCUAAUACCGGAUAACAUGUUGAAUCGCAUGGUUCAACAGUGAAAGACGGUCUUGCUGUCACUUAUAGAUGGAUCCGCGCCGCAUUAGCUAGUUGGUAAGGUAACGGCUUACCAAGGCAACGAUGCGUAGCCGACCUGAGAGGGUGAUCGGCCACACUGGAACUGAGACACGGUCCAGACUCCUACGGGAGGCAGCAGUAGGGAAUCUUCCGCAAUGGGCGAAAGCCUGACGGAGCAACGCCGCGUGAGUGAAGAAGGUCUUCGGAUCGUAAAACUCUGUUAUUAGGGAAGAACAAAUGUGUAAGUAACUAUGCACGUCUUGACGGUACCUAAUCAGAAAGCCACGGCUAACUACGUG